rnacentral:pre_miRNA from 1 species
AGCAUGGUUGCUAGAUCAUAUGGUGAAAGUAGAUUUACUUUAGUAAGAAACUGCAAAACUGUCUUCCAAAGUAGUUAGACCAUUUUGAAUUCCAACCAGCUUC